UCAACCAUCAAGCCUGGCUUGCUGUUGGACUUUUGCGGCUGAAACAUGUGGCAGGUCCAAAAAAUAAUGACGGUGUCAUGUUUUGACCCCUAGAUGCAACGAGCUUUUUAUAGCACGCAUUGAAGUGGUCGACUGAACUGGUCUUAACCAUCAAUUUCUAA
rnacentral:misc_RNA from 1 species